GACGAACGCUGGCGGCGUGCUUAACACAUGCAAGUCGAACGGAAAGGCCCUGCUUUUGUGGGGUGCUCGAGGGGCGAACGGGUGAGUAACACGUGAGUAACCUGCCCUUGACUUUGGGGUAACUUCAGGAAACUGGGGCUAAUACCGGAUAGGAGCUCCUGCUGCAUGGUGGGGGUGGGAAGGUUUCGGCGGUUGGGGAUGGACUCGCGGCUUAUCAGCUUGUUGGUGGGGUAGUGGCUUACCAAGGCUUGGACGGGUAGCCGGCCUGAGAGGAUAACAGGACACAUCAGGACUGAGAUGCGACCCGGACCAGUAUGGGACGCAGGAGUGGAGAGUAGAACACUAUGGGAGGAGCCCAAGUGUGGCACAGCCACGUGCCGGAUGUCGUGCUGGGCGUAGGGUUGUGCAUUCGCCUGUGACGGGACGUUAAUGACGGUAACGGGUAAAGAAGCACCGGCUAACUACGUG
rnacentral:rRNA from 1 species